AUUUCACUUUCCUUUUUGUGGUGUUCUUGGUCCCGAGUGCCGACUUAGUCGCCCAUCGCAAUCCCAAAUCUUGCUAUCUCGAUUUCGAAGUGGCACCGCCGUAUCCCGAAUUGGAAAUCGCCACUAAGGCCCAUAUCUCAAUUUCAAUUUAACUCAUCGAUCUUUACUAACCUUGCCCAGAUGCAACAUCGUCCUAACUCCUAAACCUCAUGCCUCGCAUCUGCCUUCGAUUUCUUGCAUCUGAUUAUUUCGUAUCCCGAUCGCAUACAUUUUAAGACUUUCAGGUUUAAGAUUUACAUAUAUCGGCUUUCUGUUGAACAUGGUUCCAACCCUCAUAAGAAGGAGAUGGAAAUAGGUACUUGGUUCAUUUUUGUUUCUGAUUUUGUCUACAGUCCUGUAUUUGUUAAUAGGUUGAAUGAAUCAAGGUCUGUGCUGCUUGGAUUUCAAGGGUUGAAGGAGGAUUUGCAAACUUGGAGGUCGAAGAACGACUCACGUUGAGGUCUGUGGCGAUCUCAUACAGGUAUGAGGAGGUGAGGUGAACAUGAGUGGCAAAAUCAAAGGCUAAGCUGCUCCAUGAAGUGAUCUUGGGGCAGGAAUACAGUCAUCUGAGGAUAUCAGGAUAUUGGCUGCAUGGAGCAACGAACAGGUCAAUGCAACUCUGAAUCAUUACAGAUAUGACUUUGGGAAUGAUAUAACAAGGAUCUUUGAGGUAUUGUAGUUGUAUAUUAUAUGCAACCCAGAUGAUGCGCAAACUGAAGACAGAGAGAGAACGGUUUCAGACCCUUACAUAAGGAGGUGUUCUUUUGGAUUUUUAAAUUUGAAUUUUUUAUUGUCGGAAAAAAAAAAACCUUGUACUGCAGAGAGAAUAGAAACCAUGCAAUAGCCAGACAUGAGGCACUUACUGGUUUAGCGGUGUCCAGAAGAAAUGUUUCACCACUGUUUGUUUCAUCAGAGCUGGAAAUUUUUUAGGGUUGAGGGUUUAGCAAUGUCUGGGGUUAGAC